CUACCCCCUCCAUCUAUGAAUUCAAUGCUCAGAAUUCCUUACAGAAAUGAGAAUGACCAUCCUGGUCCCUCAACUUUUCCUGAAGGUGAGAUGCGGUACAAUCAUGGUGCAAGAAAUGAAUCUUCUAUGCAGACAAGGUAUGAUAGCAGCCAUCAAGAGAAUGUCAGACGCACUGAAAGAAUCGAUGCCGAGCAAGAUCAUACUGAUAAUGAAGUGCACAAACUAGAUAGGGACAAAGCAAGAUGUGACUCACAGUCCUCGCUUU
rnacentral:misc_RNA from 1 species